AUUUGUAUGAGUUUAAGCUUGGCUCAGCUUGAAUACUAUCUAAUAGCUAGACAUGCGAGUCGUACGAGGAUAAUAUAUAAAUUAUUCUAGUGGCGUGAAGGUGAGUAAUGGUAUAAUUAGGACACCUAGACCCGUCUUAAAUGGAUGAUAAGGGGAAUUUUAUUUUUAUAGGAUUCUUUGAAAGGGUUGUACUUGGUUUAGGUUCUGUUAUAUUCUAAGUAGCUAGUUGGUAGGGUAACUGCUUACCAAGGCUAUGAUUAGUAGUCAGUCUGAAAGGAUGUAUGGCCACAGUGGGUAAUAAACCCAUCAUGUUAUAUUUAGCAUGCAGCAGUCGGUAAAAUUGGUCAAUGCUUGAAAAAGUGAACCAGCUAAUUAGAUUACGUAUAAUCAUCGUAUACGUAGUAGGAUAUAUUCAUAAUGAGAAUCUAUAUCUGAGUAGUCCUUGACAAUUCUGGUGCCAGCAUCAGCGGUAAUACCAGAAGGGCGAGUAUCAAGCAUAAUAAAUAGGCGUAAAGGGAUCGCAGACGGUUUUAAUAUUUCUUAUAUUUAGGAAACUUAUUGAAACUAGAAUCUAAUGGGUGUUUUGAGCACGUUGGGAGUAGGGGUAAAAUCCGUUGAGACUCAAAAGACUACUAAAAGCGAAAGCACAAAACAAUUAAAGAUUGACGUUGAGGAUCGAAAGCAUGGGUAGCAAAAGAGAUUAGAGACCUCUGAUAGUCCAUGCCGUAAACGAUGUCUGUUCAUAUGUAGCAAUUUUUCCGCUAUAUAUUUAGUUAGCACAUUAAACAGACCGCCUGAACAGUACAUUCCCAAGAAUGAAAAUCAAAAGUUUUAACCGCAGGCUAGUACACGGGGUGAAGCAUGUUAUUUAAUUCGAUAACCCGCGUAUAACCUUACUAUCUCUUGUAUAUUUAGAUUUUUAUCUAUUUACAGGUGUUGCAUGGUUGUCGUCAGUUCGUGCUUAAUAGUGUUUGGUUAAGUCCGCUAACGAACGCAAUCCUUAUGUUUAAUUUAUACAUAAACAAUGAUUAGAUUAACAUCUAAUUUUAAAGGAGUAUGACUAAUCAUCAUGACCCUUAUGAGAUAGGCUAUAGACGUGCCACAAAAUUAAUAACAAUAUCAUAGCAAAUUUAUAUUUUUUAAUAGGAAAAAAGAGCUAAUGAUCAAAUAUUAAUGAGUAUGAAUUAUAUGCUGCAAUUCGCAUAUAUGAAAUAGGAAUCCCGAGUAAUCGUUUAUCAGGAUCGGAACGGUGAAACGAACUCUAGCCUGGGCAUAAACCGCUCGUCACAAGCGUUAAGAUGAUUUAUAAUGAAUAUAAAUAAAAACCUCAAAUAAUUUAAGAUUUUAAAAAAGUCUUAUUUUAUUAAGGAUAAUCAGUUUGUAGAGUUGUGAUCAUCAAGAUGCUUGAAGUCGAAACUGGUCACGGUAGGGGAACCUGCCGUGGUAUCAUUAAAAUU
rfam:Wallemia ichthyophaga EXF-994 unplaced genomic scaffold scaffold27, whole genome shotgun sequence.